CGUCAUUCUUAUCAGGUGAGAGACUUCUCCAUUUCAAACCACUUACGUGAGUUCAGUUCCCUUUUUCUUCGAGAGUUUUUUCCGUUGUUGGUUAAAUAUAAGAUUGUCUUUCCAAAGCUAAGGUACUUUGUUUUUCUUCUUUUGUUUAUCUUAUUUUAGUUUUCUUUUUCACAUCAUUCAUCUGUAAGUACUGUAUUGUAUCCAAAUUACUCUAAUUUAGCUCUAUGAACCUCUCAUGUUAACAUUUCUGAAUUGUUAAACUUUUUUUUUUGUAAUAUAAAAAAUUCAUUUUUUUUAAUCCUUAACUUGUAUCAAUCUUGUUCACUGCUUUUUGGGUAUAUUAUAACUUGUAUUAAUCUCAUAUUAAUUCAACUUUCCAUAGGCUACGAAGGACAAGAAAAUUGUUUUCUGUCCAAAUGUGUUCAUGUCUGUGGGUUUUUUUGUUUGAACUGAUUUACUUUGUUUACGUCAUUUUUUUGUUUUAAUUAUUUAAGUGGGAGCGAAUUUGAUAAUUUGACAAGUUUUGAUGACUUUUGCGUGUUCUGUUGAUCUUUAUCUUUGUACAUGCUUUAUGUUUACACAGUGCACCCCUGUUUUGUACAUUCUUCGUUUUUAUUCAUUAAUUACAUAACAGUUUCACUUUUUAUAUUCUUUAAUAUUUACUUAAAUUUAUUCGUAGAUGAUAUUUAGGAAAAAAAUUAUACAUUAUGCAAUUAAAUCUGGAAACAUAUGAAAAGUAAAAUUAAAUGGAGUGGAAAAAUUUACUUUGAUAAAAGCUGAAUUACCUGCUGUUAAAACGAUUUUCGAGAAUGAAUAAAUAAUAAAUUAGCCUACAAGUAGAUUUUUCUUUGCUGUAUCCGUACGCCAUUAGUAAACCCUUUAUUCACUUUUCGAAGACCUUUAAAUUCUUUUCAAGCUCUUUUCUUCUUUUAUUUACAAUUAAUUUAUUUUUCUUUUAUAUAUCAUUUAGCGGUAAGUAAUGUAUACUACCCAAAUUACUCUAAUUUAGGUCUAUGUACCCCUCGUGUUACAUGGCUAAAUUGUUAAAUAUUUUUUAAAAUUAUUUUUUUAACUCAUUAACUUGUAUUAAUUUCAUUCACUGCUUUUUUGGUUUAUUAUUACUUGUUUAGGGAAAAAAUAAUGUUCUAGAAUAACAAAAACAAGGAAAAUAACUAAAAAUAAUUUUAAUCCCCCCUUUUUUACUAUGAUUUGCUGCCCAAGAAGUUGAAUGUCAGCACCAAAACGGGAAACGCAGAGAUACAGAUUUCUGGGAAGUUACUGUUAUCGAGGACAGCGUGAGAAAAGCUUCUAGGCUGAGCGUGAGGGAGACUAUAGCGCUCCCUUCCAAUACAAAGAUAGUACUCCCAUUUAACAAAGAGCUGCAAUCGAUUGGUCAAGCAGCUGGAUUAUUAAGUGGUUUCUUAGGGAGUUUGGGUGCGGAUUAUUCCCAGUUCCCCAUAUCUGCAAAAAGUUGGAAGCAUGUGAACAAAGCUAAGAAGGAACAUGCUUACGACAUGAUUAAGCGGGUCUUUCAUUAUGAGGACGAUGCCGGAGGAAAAAUAAAGCGCGAUAUUAUGAAGAGGAUAGAAAAGAACUGGAAGGAUACAAGGCACCACUUGUAUCAUAGGUGUUAGAAAGAAAUAAUGACUUAUGAGAAAAAUCUUGAGCAUCGCCCGAAAGGAAUAGAAGAAAAUGAAUGAAAAAAGUUUAUUGACUAUCGCCAGAAGGAAGAAACAAUGAAAAAGUGUAAACAGAACGCUUUAAAUCAGAGCAAGUAACUUUACACACAUAUUGGAGGCUCCAAAACAUUGGCAAGAAAAAAAUGAAGUGGAGAAAGAGCAAGGAAGGUGCAUUGGUAAAGGAGAGUUGCUUAUCAUGACUCAUAAGAAAAAAGAUGGCACGUAUAUCCACCCCGAUGCGCGUGUUGUUACUAAAGCAAUUUCAAAUGUUGAGAAGUAGGAUGGAUCCUCUAGGCACUUUUCACAAAAUGAUUCGCUAGCACAAGUUCUCGGAAAGGAGCACCCAGGACGAGUUCGUGCCCUAGGUGCUGGACCAUGUCCCACCCAAGUCUUUGGUAACGCUGCUGGACAACCGUCGAGUUCUGCAGGGUCCAAUGAAGAGUACGAGAGGAGGAUUGCGAAAUUGACGGCUAAGCUAGAAGAAGAGCAGGCGAAGAGAUAGUCGAUACAUAAGGUCUUGGGAUAUCUAGUCCAACAGCAAGGAGACAAUUUGCCAGCUGAGGUUGCUGCAGAGUUGGCUUUUUUGGGCGGUACACCGGACUCGUCAAGCGCAGGGCCAUCUUCAUCUGCCAAUCACGACCUGAAACAAAAAUUUUGAAUUCCAAUCAAUGUUCUUAGAUACUUAUGCAUUUAAGUUGGUUUAGUGCUUUAUGCUUAUUUUCUUCAACUUAAGCAUUCUUGCUUUAUUUUGGAUUAGUUAUGACAAUUUCAUUAUAUAUGUUAUAUUUUCAUAUA